rnacentral:siRNA from 1 species
UCUGCAGCGAUAAAAUGGAC